rnacentral:ncRNA from 1 species
UCAAAGGCGUGGAAAGACUUAGUAGAAAGCGGAAUCCCGCCGCUCAGAGAAUCGGUGGUCGCUGCGAACCGAAUGGGCGGAUCCCUUUUGAAUUACCGUCUGGAGCCGUCCGGGGGAACGCGGCCCUAAGCCGCAAGUAGUCCGGUUCCGGGAUGACCGUUAUAAGAAUGAAGUGAAAACCGUUUCGUUUGCUUUGCUGCGGCCUGCGGCGGGUUAACGCGGUUUUAAUUAGGGUGGUAACGCGAGCGCUCCUUCUCGUCCCUUGG